AUUCAGCUAACGAGUCUCAAAUAAGACGAAACAUGCAUCCUGGAU
rnacentral:hammerhead_ribozyme from 1 species